UAUAUAGCAAAGUGACCCAAUCACGCAUAUACAUAUAUUCUUUUUCUCACAUUAUCCUCCAUAUGCUCCCUCUCAGGGAUUAUCCUCUAAGCAGGAAGCCAAGUGAUUUCCAUUAUAUCUUUGCCACAGAUUUUUAGUCACUCCCCUAGUGCUAUGUUAGUAAGUGUUUAUCAUAGGCUCUGGGAAAGUCUGGAUUUGUAGCAUGUGCCGAUGUUCAUAAUGUGAAUUCUCUCACCGUAGCCCCCCACUGCAACCCAUUUUGAGCUAAUGACAUGCUCUCUUGGGAUGCAAAAUUGGGAAGAGUUGUACCUGGUCAGCUCUGCAGCCAGCUCCAGCCCACCACCAUUCUGGCCCCUCCUUUUUCUGGUAGGAGGUAGGAUAUGGGAAGAGGCAAUUGCUACAGUUAAACAACCCUAACCAGGUUUUGUAUUUUCUAUAAGAAACAUCUAAGUUUUCGUUAUUGCCCAUACAGUUUUAAUUAUCCUUCAUUGGGUCCAUCUGUCUCUGUAUCUACCACGAAGGAGGUAAAGAUGAGAUAGAAGAGAUAUUGUGUUUGGUGCUAUAAAAAACACACACAGCUAUGAUAACAUUUAUAACAAUAUGUUUCUGAAAAAAAUGAGAGAUAAGUAAGAAUGUUUACUUUUCAUUGACUAAUAGCAGGAUUUAGUCUAUUAAAGGUGACAGCUGAACACCAUUUACUUUUCUACUGAACUCACUGUAAUCUAUGAAAAGUGUUUCUGACAUAGCCUUUUCUUCCUCUUUGAAAUGCUUGAUUCCCAGUGAGUUAAAUAUUUAGCUACCCACCUGUUAUUUAUUAUUUUUGUUUACAGAAAACCAUGAGGGCACAGAACACAUAAAAGGCCCUAUAAAGAUGAGUUUUCUAAUCCAAUUAGGAAUACAAUACCUUGGGCAACAGAAAAAAUGUGCAAAAAGAUGGAAAUAUUUUUAUAGAGCAGAUUGGAAAAAAGUUUUAUGAAGCAAGGAGAAAAGAAGUAUAUAUAGAAGAGAGUAAUAGUUUGGGGUAUGUAGAAUGUGGGAAUAAGAAUUUAUGUUUUUAGGAGUUCCCAUUGUGGCUCAAUGAGUUAAGAACCGACUAGUAUCCAUGAGGAUGCAGGUUCAAUCCCUGGCCUUGCUCAGAAGGUUAAGGAUCCAGCAUUUCUGUGGUUGUGGCGAAGGCCAGCAGCUGCAGCUAAGAUUCAACCCCUAGCCUGGGAACUUCCUUAUGCCUCGAUGCAGCACUGACAAUCUAAAAAAAAAAAAGAAAGAAAGAAAGAAAAACAAAGAAAUAUACAUACAUAUUUAUGAAUAUAUUUUAAAUAUAACUUAAUAGAAUUAGGUAAAAUAAAAAUGGGAUCCAGGAGUUCCUGUCGUGGCGCAGUGGUUAACGAAUCCGACUAGGAACCAUGAGGUUGCGGGUUCGAUCCCUGCCCUUGCUCAGUGGGUUAAUGAUCCGGCGUUGCCGUGAGCUGUGGUGUAGGUUGCAGACGCGGCUCGGAUCCCGCGUUGCUGUGGCUCUGGCGUAGGCCGGUGGCUACAGCUCCGAUUCAACCCCUAGCCUGGGAANNNNNNNNNNNNNNNNNNNNNNNNNNNNNNNNNNNNNNNNNAAAAAAAAAAAAAAAAAAAAAAAAUGGGAUCCAGUAAAAAAAAUACUGGGAUAUACAAGAAGGGAGUGAAAGUGACGAAAAUAGAAAUAAGAAUAACCAAUCUAAAAGCAUUAAAAAUAUAUCAUUGCAAAUAAACAAAUAUUGGGCUAGGAAAUAAGAUAUAGUAUUAGGGUACAUCCUGUGGGUACAUGCUUUCUUUUUACAUAUAUAAAGAAAGAGAAAAUUCUGGACUAGAAGAGACUAAGAAAAAGGUCAAGCUUACAUUUGAGGUUCAACACUAGAAGAUAUUUCUAUGAAGGUUUUCUGAAUGUGGACACUUGAAAGUGUAUUGAUCAAUUUUUUCUCUCUUUUAGGGCCUCAGGUACAGCAUAUGGAUGCCAGCCAGCCAGAUUUGAGCUGUUUCUGCAACCUACAUUGCAGCUUGUAGCUAUGCCAGAUCCUUAACCCACUUAACGGGGCCAGGGAUUGAACCUGGCCAUCUUCAUGGAUACUAGCCGGGUUCGUUUUUGCUCAGCCAUGACAUAAACUCCUAUGGAUCAAUGGUUUAAAAGUGCAGGACUUAGUGCAAAUUCAGCAACACUCAUUGAUUUAAUAAGCAAUUACUGAACAUUAACAUUGUCAAGAUACUAUACUAUAUGUCAGCAGGGAAGAAAGGACAAGAAAUAUUUAUUAAGGACCCACUCCAGCAUGAAGACUGAGUCUUAUAUGUUGUCAUCUUUCACUCUUAUCACAUUCAUUUAGGUCAAUUUUCAUAUUCUUAUUUUUAGUAAAGAAAACUGUUUUUCAUAAAGAGUAAACAAUGAAGAAUAAAACAGUGGUGUAUAUGAGGGGUUUCCCAUUUAGCAAACAAAAGGAAAUCUGGAAUGGAGGAAAAACUUUUAUUUCUUCUACUGACAUUUGAAGGACACUUUAUCUGAAAGCAAAGCUAUGGCUUUUUCUGAGAUGAAAAUAAACUCCUGUUUUCAGAUUUGUAAUGGAAAGAACUAUUGCAUUAAAAUGCAACCCACUGAGUUUCCAUUUUGGCUCAGUAGUAACGAACCCAAUUAGUAUCCGUGAGGAUGUGGGUUUGAUCCCUGGCUUUGCUCAGUGGGUUAAGGAUCUGGCCUUGCUGUGGGCUGUGUUGUAGGUCAUAGAUGCAGCUCAGAUCUGUGGCAGUAACGUAGGCUAUCAGCUGCAGCUCGGAUUUGACCCCUAGCCUGGAAAAUUCCAUAUGCCACAGGUGAAGCCUCAAAAAAGCAAAAUACAUAAAUAAAAAUAAAUAAAUAAAUAAAUGCUACUCCAAAAUUUGAGUCUUAAAUCGUGAGAAAAUGGUAAUACCCUUAUCUCUAAGAAUUGUUUCUACACCAAAUUGUUUAUAUUAAUACUCUAAUAGCUCUGCUUGUGGGAAAGUUCUGUGGUGUUUUGAUGUGCCAUAGCAGUGAUGAAGAAAAUUAAAUCAAUUACUCAGAUAAUAUCUUUCCUUGCUAUGNCUCUUGGUUUUUAGGGCCGCACUUGUGGCAUAUGGAGGUUCCCAGGCUAGGGGUCUAAUGGAAGCUACAGUUGCUAGCCUAGUCCAGAGCCACAGCAAUGCCAGAUCCAAGCUACAUUUGUGACCUACACUACAGCUCAUGGCAACGAUGGAUCCUUAACCUACUGAGCAGGGCCAGGGAUCAAACCCGCAAUUUCAUGGUUCCUAGCCGGAUUCGUUUCCCCUGCACCAUGAUGGAAACUCCUCUUCUAACAUUUUUAUAUUAUUAGCUCAUUUAAUACAUUGUAUUUCCAUUGUCACCUGCUAACCUAGGCUACUUUCCAUGUACAAUUUGGAAUCUCCUAGCCAACUGUUUCUCUGUGCAGCCUCUUUCCAGUCUAGUUCACCCUGCAUUCUGCCUUUGCAUGAAUUCUCUCAAACCACCAUUCUGAACACAUAACGUUUUUCUCAAACAAAAACAACAACCACCACAAAACUAUCCAUAGAAUAAAGUACAAAUUCUUUAGUUUAGAAGAUAAAGACAACAUUAGCUGGUCACUGGUUAUCUUUCUACUAACUGUGUGUUUCACAGGCACUUUCACAGUUUCAUAAGUAAUGCCCCAUAUAUCUCAACUCCAAAGCUGGAAAUUCAUGCUUCUGAAAAUGCCAUCACCUUAUUAUCUACCUAUCAAAAUGGUCUUUUUUCUUCUACAUCCUGCCACUGAACUCAUCUUUUAACUCAUGAAGCAUUUAUUUUGUAUACUAUAUGCCUCCCCAUUUUUAUUCAUUUAUUACUCAACUGCAUUAUGUCUCCAAAAGGAAUGUGUUAUAUUUUUAUAUGUGAUUCUCCAGAGUCUACCACAGGGACAAAUAAUAGGUGCUCAAUAAUUAUUUCGGAUAAUUAUAUAGCCUCACAGCAUGUGAACAUCCUACAAUGCUAAUUUCAUUCAACAUUCACUCAAGAGCUAAUUCUUCUGCCUAUGUUAUUUAUGUGGCACUUUUCUUGGCACUGGUAGACAAGAAAGAUAAGUUCCCUGCCUUCUGAAUCUUAUAUUUCAGUGUGAAGAAAGACAAGAAACUGGUUGAUGAUAUGAUAUAAUGUGCUUACAUAGAGUGAUGAAGAUCAUAAAGAAAACUGUAAGAUAGAAUGAGGGAGGGGAGGAGAUGAGGAGUCUAGUUUUAUCGAAGUGUUUGGGAAGAUUUUAUCUGAGGCCUUACCACUGAGCAGACACCAGAAGUGUACACAGCUUCAAUUAUGUAAAAUCAACUUGGGAGGGGGACCAUAAGCUUAAGGACUUUAAAAAGUCCCCGAGUUUAACAACUUAUUGGGAAAUAAACUAUAAUGGGAAUAUAGGAAGCCGGGAUCCAAAUGAGAAGUGAUUUACUAAAUGUAGGCAGAAAAUAAUGGUGGAAUUCAGACUAUCUACUGAAGAUUGAUGGAUGGCAUUAACUAUGAGUUUACAUAUUGGGAAACAGAGCUCUUCAGAGAAUAUCAUGUCAUGUAUCAGGGUCAGUAACAUAGGAAUUUGACUGAACUCCAUAUUCAACUAAAAGUCAACAAAAACUAUUGUAUUUAUUUCCCAAUUCCAACAGGUUAAACUUUGCUGGACAGAGCUAAAUCCCAGUAAAUUUGUAUUGUCCCUGUGUACUCUAGCAGCUAGCUUGGGACUGGGCAUAGACUAGUUCAACAAGUUCGCAAGUUUUGUUAUGCAUUCAAAUUGCCUGAGAUGCUUGUCAGAAUGCAGAGUCUGACUCAGGAGGUCUAGGGUGGCCUGGAUUUCUGCAUUUCUAACACAUUCUGAGAAUGCCAAUUUCAAUGUCUGAGUACCACAUUCAUUCGAUGAUGAUUGUUCAAUGGAUUGAUUGGCCAAUUGAUUGACUAAGCUAGGAAGAAAGGCUGACGAUCAGAAAUUUCAUUAAAUAGUACCCUAUUUGGAUCAAUUUGAGUUGAAAAUUAUUUGAUAUUUGCAAAUAAAUAUUUAAUAUAUAUUUAUUUUAGGGAAUUAAUGUGACUCAAUUAUGUAUAACAUGAUUCUGGUCAUCUUCUGGGUUAAGAGUGUUGGAGAAAAUAGAUGUUGAUGGUCCUUUUUGGUGUUAUUAUUCCUAUAAAGGUUGUUAGUAUUAUUCUGUAACUGUUUUUUUUUUUAGGUAACAGAAACUACAAGAUGAUGGUAAUGCUGCUGCUGUUGUUUUUCUAUCCUGUACCUGGGAAGCUUUUAUAAUAUACAUACAAUUGUAUCCUUCCCCUUGGCAAUAUUUUUAAUGUCCUGGAAUCUGGACUUAAAAGAAAAUUUUAUGUUUAGCUGUGUUAGGCAGCUACAGGUAUAUUUAAGUAAGGAACACAGAGUGUGUCAUGAUGAGCAGCUGUUGACCUUCUUAAAGGAUGCAUGACUCCCUUUCUUCAUCCUCAUUUCUAAUAAAAAGGAAUUCACCUCCCCUCAGAAGAAUGCUCUUUUCCUCCUUUUUCACACUGCUCAAUCUCAACUCAAAAGUCUUCUUCUGAGUUUUCCCUUCCUCUGCUAUCUGAAGAGGUCACCUGAAUGAACUUUGUGUCUUCAUGCAUUUUUUAACCUUUAUAGCAAUAAUCAAAUAAAGCAAUUAUCUUAUUUACUAUGUUCAUUUACUAAUUUACAUUUAUACCCUUCCCAUCGGGAAGUAAAUUCCACAUGGCCAGCCACUAUUGAGUGUCCAUUAUCAUCAUAUCCUCAUGUUGAAACUCCUUGAAGGCAGAGGCAAUGUCAAUGAACCAUUUGUAAACAACAUGGAAACUGAAUUUUUAAAACACAAGAUAUUUAACAUAACAAUCUGUUAGCUUUAAUAUUUCUGGAGAUACAUAGAUAUUCCUGCAGUUUACUAACGCAAAGUGGUUUGUUCAGUGGGUAUUUUAUUCAGAUUAGGUUCAAGUUAUUUAGAUAGUUUAUUUGACUCUGUUAUAAUCUAUGUACUUUUUUUUUUGUUUUUUGAUGAUAGUUGCUUCAAAACCUGAAUUCUAUAUAUCUAGCUACUCAAAUGUUGAUCACCCAUAUCAAGUGGUGAGGAAAAAAAUGGGGUUUGCAAUUACAGAGUCCCAGGUUGAGAUUUUAUCUUGGCCAAUGCACUGAAAUGAGAGGAGAAGUUAUUAACCUCUUUGGAUUCCAGCCACCUAUUCUGUGAUAUGGAACAAUAAGCCUAGGAUUAGCAAUAAUUUUUUAAGAGUAUUUGGUGUUCAUUAGGUACUCCGUAAAAGGUAUGCUAUUGUUAUUAUAGUAAUAUCAUGAUUCCAAGAUAGAUGACAUGCUGAUAGACUGACUUAGGAUGAAUUAGUUACAUUAAUAUAAUUGUUUUAAAUGAAGGUUACUUAAUUUUUUCUAAAAUAUAUUCUAUAAGUGAAGUCAGCCGUACAAUGAGACACCAACAUCAAAUGCUUUCACUGACAUGUGGAAUCUGAAAAAAGGACAGACUGAACUUCUUUGCAGAACAGAUGCUGACUCACAGACAUUGAAAAACUUAAUGGUCUCUGGAGGAGAUAGUUUGGGGGGUAGGGGGAUGUGCUUGGGUUAUGGGAUGGAAAUCCUGUCAAAUUGGAUUGUUAUGAUCAUUAUACAACUACAGAUGUGAUAAAUUCAUUUGAGUAAUAAAAAAAGGAAAAAAAUAAAAUAUAUUCUAUAAAUAAAAUAGUAAAUAUAACAUCCGCUUUAUACAUACAUAGGUAACUAAAAUAUGUUUAAGGAUAUAAGUAGUGAUUAUAAAUUAAUGACAUGUACUAGUUACAUAAAACAAAGAUUUCCCCUUUAAAUGUCUGAUAUGUUGAAAAUUUGCUUGCUUAGAAAAGUGAUUAAGUGAAAUAUAAUUGUUGCUGAAAUAACUCUUUAAUCUGUUAUAAUCUGUGAUCCUCUUUGAAGGAUUAAACAAGCUUCAUAAAAUGUAUGUGUGUAUGGUAUGUGUGUGUAUAUUCACAUACAUACAUGCAUACCAAUAAAGGUAUAUACAUAUGUAUUAGUCCAUAGCAAAAUGAUAUAAUUUUUAUACAUUGUACAUAGGGGAUAUGACAUAUUGGAGAUAAUAGUUUUCUUUAAUUAACUGAUUUGUCAAAGUGUUUUAACUGAGGACAGAUGAGUGGAAUUGCAGUGUAAUGUCAUUCAUCAUCUUGAACAAUUUUCUUAAGGAUUUCACAUUGAAUCUAAUCCCAAAAACACUUUUUAAGGUUAUAAUUCUUUAAAUGUUAAAUAUUGAAUAUUUUACAUUAAAAUCUAGAUCUCAUUCAUUCAAGUUGUUUUAGAGGUAGCAAGUGAAUUUCUGUAACUAUUUCCGGGGGAACUUAAGAGAUUUAUAAAGAAGCUUCUGAGAGUCCCUCCCCCCAAAACUAGGAAGUUUGGCUUAUUCUUGAGGCAUCUUAUUAACUGAACAAAAAAAGUUGUUUUUAUUCCAAUUCUGUACCAGUCACUCU
rnacentral:lncRNA from 1 species